GAGGAAUAUUGGUCAAUGGGCGAGAGCCUGAACCAGCCAAGUCGCGUGAAGGAAGACUGUCCUAUGGAUUGUAAACUUCUUUUGUACGGGAAUAAAGUGGGCUACGUGUAGCCUUUUGUAUGUACCGUACGAAUAAGGAUCGGCUAACUCCGUGCCAGCAGCCGCGGUAAUACGGAGGAUCCGAGCGUUAUCCGGAUUUAUUGGGUUUAAAGGGUGCGUAGGUGGAUUGAUAAGUCAGUGGUGAAAGUUUGCAGCUUAACUGUAAAAUUGCCGUUGAAACUGUCGGUCUUGAGUGCAAAUGAGGUAGGCGGAAUGCGUCGUGUAGCGGUGAAAUGCUUAGAUAUGACGCAGAACUCCGAUUGCGAAGGCAGCUUACUGGGAUGCAACUGACACUGAGGCACGAAAGCGUGGGUAUCAAAC
rnacentral:rRNA from 1 species